rnacentral:snRNA from 1 species
AGAUAUGAGGGUGAUCUGGCUGCAACAUCUGUCACCCCAUUGAUCACCAGGGUUGAUUUGGCUGAUCUCGCUGGCUGGGCGGGCAUCCUCUUCCUUCCUCACCCCUCCAUGUGCGUCCCUCCCAAAGCUGCACACUCGGUCAAGGAGGACGACCACCCCCAAUAGAGGACCAGUCUUUGGUCAAGGGUAUAUGAAUAGCUGCAUUCCCCUGCUAGAACCUCCAAACAAGCUCUCAAAAAUAUACCCAUAAGCAAUUAGAGUAGACAAGUGCUAUUACAUUCAUAAGUUGGUUCUGU